CCUACGGGAGGCAGCAGUGAGGAAUCUUGGUCAAUGGACGGAAGUCUGAACCAGCCAUGCCGCGUGCAGGAAGACGGCUCUAUGAGUUGUAAACUGCUUUUGUACAAGGGUAAACCUGAAUACGUGUAUUCAGCUGAACGUCCUUUACGAAUAAGGAUCGGCUAACUCCGUGCCAGCCGCCGCGGUAAUACGGAGGAUCCAAGCGUUAUCCGGAUUUAUUGGGUUUAAAGGGUGCGUAGGCGGAUUGAUAAGUUAGAGGUGCAAUGUCCGAGCUUAACUCGGGAACUGCCUCUAAUACUGUUGAUCUAGAGAGUAGAUGCGGUAGGCGGAAUGUAUGGUGUAGCGGUGAAAUGCUUAGAGAUCAUACAGAACACCGAUUGCGAAGGCAGCUUAGCAAUCUAUAUCUGACGUUGAGGCACGAAAGCGGGGGGAGCAAACAGGAUUAGAUACCCCUGUAGUC
rnacentral:rRNA from 1 species